rnacentral:rRNA from 1 species
ACAUGCAAGUCGAACGGGCCUUCGGGCUAGUGGCGGACGGGUGAGUAACGCGUGGGAAUCUGCCCUCAGGAGGGGGAUAACGGCCGGAAACGGCCGCUAAUACCCCAUAUGCCGAGAGGUGAAAUGAAUUUCGCCUGAGGAUGAGCCCGCGUCUGAUUAGCUAGUUGGUGAGGUAAUGGCUCACCAAGGCAUCGAUCAGUAGCUGGUCUGAGAGGAUGAUCAGCCACACUGGGACUGAGACACGGCCCAGACUCCUACGGGAGGCAGCAGUGGGGAAUUUUCCGCAAUGGGCGCAAGCCUGACGGAGCAACGCCGCGUGAGGGACGAAGGCCUCUGGGCUGUAAACCUCUUUUCUCAAGGAAGAAGACAUGACGGUACUUGAGGAAUAAGCCACGGCUAAUUCCGUGCCAGCAGCCGCGGUAAUACGGGAGUGGCAAGCGUUAUCCGGAAUUAUUGGGCGUAAAGCGUCCGCAGGCGGCCUUGAAAGUCUGUUGUUAAAGCGUGGAGCUCAACUCCAUUUCAGCAAUGGAAACUACAAGGCUAGAGUGUGGUAGGGGCAGAGGGAAUUCCCGGUGUAGCGGUGAAAUGCGUAGAUAUCGGGAAGAACACCAGUGGCGAAGGCGCUCUGCUGGGCCAUAACUGACGCUCAUGGACGAAAGCCAGGGGAGCGAAAGGGAUUAGAUACCCCUGUAGUCCUGGCCGUAAACGAUGAACACUAGGUGUCGGGAGAAUUAACCCUUUCGGUGUCGUAGCCAACGCGUUAAGUGUUCCGCCUGGGGAGUACGCACGCAAGUGUGAAACUCAAAGGAAUUGACGGGGGCCCGCACAAGCGGUGGAGUAUGUGGUUUAAUUCGAUGCAACGCGAAGAACCUUACCAGGGUUUGACAUCCUGCGAAUCCUUUGGAAACUUAGGAGUGCCUUCGGGAGCGCAGUGACAGGUGGUGCAUGGCUGUCGUCAGCUCGUGUCGUGAGAUGUUGGGUUAAGUCCCGCAACGAGCGCAACCCACGUCUUUAGUUGCCAGCAUUUAGUUGGGCACUCUAGAGAGACCGCCGGUGAUAAACCGGAGGAAGGUGUGGAUGACGUCAAGUCAUCAUGCCCCUUACAUCCUGGGCUACACACGUACUACAAUGCUACGGACAAAGGGCAGCAAACUCGCGAGAGCUAGCAAAUCCCAUAAACCGUGGCUCAGUUCAGAUCGUAGGCUGCAACUCGCCUACGUGAAGGAGGAAUCGCUAGUAAUCGCAGGUCAGCAUACUGCGGUGAAUACGUUCCCGGGCCUUGUACACACCGCCCGUCACACCAUGGAAGUUGGCCAUGCCCGAAGUCGUUACUCCAACCCGCAAGGGAGG